UUUUGAGGCUUAUCUUUAAACCUCCCAACUCGACCCCCUAGCUGGUUCUUAUCAUGUUUGAGCUGAAGAAUAGGCUGAGUUGGAGGGUUUUGGAGCUGCUAUAGAAGGGUGAAAAGGAGAGUUUUGGGAAGCAUUUCUCAGUUCUAACUCAGCUAGAAAUUGAGUUAAAGCUUGUUGAGCUGAUUUGGGGGAGGUUUGUAGCAGCUAUAGAAGAGGUGUUUUGGCUGUGAUUCUUCAAUCCUAACUCAGUUGAAACUGAGUUGAAGUUGUGAAAGGUUGGUUUUGAUGUACUCCAACUUGAAUUGAAGUGGAGCUCAAAUUUGGGACUCUAUACGAGGGUACUUGGAGGCUAGCGAACACCUUCGCUUGCGAGAUCGAUGAGAGUCGUCGACUAUUUGGGUCGCGCCCUACAAUUCGGCACUCCGGAGUUGGCCUACGCUACAGCAGAUCGCUUGUAUGAGACUGAGCGUCGAAGUCGAUUGCCGUGGGUAGUGUUAACUUCCACGGGGCCAUUAGGCAUGGCACGAGCCAGGACUUUACCAAGUAGCCUUCCGCAGUGGGAAAGGCUAGGGUUCCUAGCAAGGGGUCAGCAGCUAGCUAGAACCUCGUCGGUGUUAAAUAGAUGAACUGAUGCAAGCUUAUUUUAGUUUAGUUCAGAGAUGUAUAUUGGGACUGUUAGAAUGUACUUUAUACUUUACUUUUAAGUUGUAUUUUGGUUUUAUGUUGAUAUAAGCUUUUGAACUUUUAAGGUUUGCUCUGAUUACCCGGUUAAGAUAUUAUGCUUUUACUAUGUGGAUUGUAGACGCCUGGUAUACACUAGAGGUGGUGGUGUAUACGGCGGGUCUGUGCACGCGACUGGUGAGCUUUCGCUGAAGUGUAGGGCGUGACAAAAUUAAUUUUAAAGCUAUUCCUUUUUGA